UUACCAUUGGCCCCAGUAUGAGCGGAUGUCAAGUGAUUCCUUGAAUCUCUUCAGAUGUUGUGGAAAUAAUGAGCUUAUUACAGUCAAGUAAUCCGCAGUCAUGUUUUUGUAUGCAUGUCAAGGGCUACGACUGGAUGUGUUGACAGCUCCAGCUGUGCGGAUUUGUUGGUAUAUUGCAAAUGAAAAGAGCUAAGGACACCAUCAGCAGUGCAAAGAAAAUGGUGUUUGGUCCGCCGGCAGCAUGACAUCACUCAGUGUUUCCCUUCCUUGACCUUUGUCUGAUGCCAGCUCCGAGGACCUGACAGGAGGGGUCUGCUGUCGGGCACCUUGUAUCCACUUAGCUGAUAUUUCAGACAACUAAUAAGAAACAAGAAUCGAGGAAGUAUAUUAAGUUUUAAAUAUGUUCUUGUUGUUGUUUGCUUGUUAAUUAGUUGUGACAGAUGUAGCUGUGUAACAGAUGCUCUGCUUGAGGAAGAACAAAUCCACAUUUCUAUGAUGAGGAAAUCAUGCUGUAUUCUGCAGUAACUUAGUACAUUUACUCAAGUACAAUUUUGAGGUAUGUGUACUUGAGUUUUUUCAUUUUCUGCUGCUUCAGACUUUCACUACAUUUAAGAGGCAACUGUUGUACAUUUUACUCCACUACAUUUAUUGGAUAACUUCAGUUAGCUAUCCAAUAUACAACAUAAUCACUUCACUUUAUUGAUACCUGGUAGAAAAUUCACAAAAUGCCCAUUAGUACAGUAAAUUCUAAACAUGUUAGGUAAUUGAAAUGAGCUCCACCUUUACUGGCUGCAACAUUAAAGUGAUGAACACAAUAAUGCCUCGGUACUUGUAAUACAAUUAUAUGAUAAACGUUAAUGUCAAAUGUGCUAUUCUGCAUAAUAUGUACUUUUACUUUUUGGUACUUUAAAUAUUUUGAUGCCAAUACUUU